UACAGAGGUCUCAAGCGUUGUUCGGAUUCAUUGGGCGUAAAGGGUGCGUAGGCGGCGCGGUAAGUCGGGUGUGAAAUCUUGGAGCUUAACUCCGAAACUGCAUUCGAUACUGCCGUGCUUGAGGACUGGAGAGGAGACUGGAAUUUACGGUGUAGCGGUGAAAUGCGCAGAUAUCGUAAGGAAGACCAGUGGCGAAGGCGGGUCUCUGGACAGUUCCUGACGCUGAGGCACGAAGGCCAGGGGAGCAAACGGG
rnacentral:rRNA from 1 species